rnacentral:rRNA from 1 species
UACGGAGGGGGCUAGCGUUGCUCGGAAUCACUGGGCGUAAAGCGCACGUAGGCGGACUCUUAAGUCGGUGGUGAAAUCCUGGAGCUCAACUCCAGAACUGCCUUCGAUACUGGGAGUCUCGAGUUCGGGAGAGGUGAGUGGAACUGCGAGUGUAGAGGUGAAAUUCGUAGAUAUUCGCAAGAACACCAGUGGCGAAGGCGGCUCACUGGCCCGGUACUGACGCUGAGGUGCGAAAGCGUGGGGAGCAAACAGG